CCUACGGGAGGCAGCAGUAGGGAAUCUUCCGCAAUGGACGAAAGUCUGACGGAGCAACGCCGCGUGAACGAUGAAGGCCUUCGGGUCGUAAAGUUCUGUUGUUAGGGAAGAACAAGUGCUAGUUAAAUAAGCUGGCACCUUGACGGUACCUAACCAGAAAGCCACGGCUAACUACGUGCCAGCAGCCGCGGUAAUACGUAGGUGGCAAGCGUUGUCCGGAAUUAUUGGGCGUAAAGCGCGCGCAGGCGGUUUCUAAGUCUGAUGUGAAAGCCCCCGGCUCAACCGGGGAGGGUCAUUGGAAACUGGGAAACUUGAGUGCAGAAGAGGAAAGUGGAAUUCCAAGUGUAGCGGUGAAAUGCGUAGAGAUUUGGAGGAACACCAGUGGCGAAGGCGACUUUCUGGUCUGUAACUGACGCUGAGGCGCGAAAGCGUGGGGAGCAAACAGGAUUAGAUACCCUGGUAGUCCACGCUGUAAACGAUGAGUGCUAAGUGUUAGAGGGUUUUCCGCCCUUUAGUGCUGAAGUUAACGCAUUAAGCACUCCGCCUGGGGAUACGGUCGCAAGACUGAAACUCGAAAAGGAUUGACGGCUGAGACNGCGAGNGACGACGAGGAGAG
rnacentral:rRNA from 1 species